rnacentral:piRNA from 1 species
UGGAAGAAAUUGGCCAAAAUGAAAGGGUGU